rnacentral:rRNA from 1 species
AUUGAACGCUGGCGGCAUGCCUUACACAUGCAAGUCGAACGGCAGCGGACCUUCGGGUGCCGGCGAGUGGCGAACGGGUGAGUAAAGUAUCGGAACGUACCUUUCAGUGGGGGAUAACGUAGCGAAAGUUACGCUAAUACCGCAUAUUCUGUGAGCAGGAAAGCAGGGGAUCGCAAGACCUUGCGCUGAUUGAGCGGCCGAUAUCAGAUUAGCUAGUUGGUGAGGUAAAGGCUCACCAAGGCGACGAUCUGUAGCGGGUCUGAGAGGAUGAUCCGCCACACUGGAACUGAGACACGGUCCAGACUCCUACGGGAGGCAGCAGUGGGGAAUUUUGGACAAUGGGGGCAACCCUGAUCCAGCCAUGCCGCGUGAGUGAAGAAGGCCUUCGGGUUGUAAAGCUCUUUCGGCCGGGAAGAAAUCGUAUCAGCUAAUACCUGGUGCGGAUGACGGUACCGGCAUAAGAAGCACCGGCUAACUACGUGCCAGCCGCCGCAGUAAAAC